UGUUUUUUUCUCCCCAAAGCCAAAUACUUUAUGAAUGCCUUGCACAGCCCAGCCCGAGGCCAGGCUCUAUCCCGCGCUGCCCGCACAGCUCGUGGGGCUGCAUGGCCCUGCCCAAGCUCAGCACCAGCACCAAUGGGGCAAUCCCAUUCCCCAGCAGCAGGAAAGACUCGCCCUUGUAGAGAAAACAAGUAAAUACUCUCAUGGUGGACUUGGGGUGCUGAAUGUGUGUUUACCUCCCUGCUUCCCUCUCUCUUCUUUACUUUCCCUGCUUCUUGUCUGCCCCUCCAUCAGUUUAUCUCUUUUUUUCCUUGCUCCUUCCUUCUCCUGUAGCUACUUAUUGGCAGGCAGCUGUGGUCAGAGCUAUCUCAAAGCAAUGUCACCUUGUGCCAUGUCUGCGUGUGGUACCGAUGAGGCAGCCUGGUGAGCUGAGCUUUGAGCUCUGAAUUUCUAAUCGUGGCUCCUCUGCUGGCCUUAGGGCAGGUCUUGCCUUCUUUGCCUGCAGGGUGGGACUGUGCUAAACCAGCCCACCCCUGGGGCAGCAUGAGGCACGUUUGCUGGAUCAGGUUCAAGUUAAAACACUUGAAUUAUUCAGACCUGCUGGCUGGCAUUGUGCAGCUUCAGUAGCUCGCUCUUCCCUAGGCUAGGAGCGAUCGCUGCGGUAACUGCCCUGCUUUGGGCUGCAGAGGGACACGCAGGGUGCAGGCAGGGCUUCCGGGUGUGACACCUGCCCUCAGGCACCCCAAAUAGGCUGUCCUACACCCAGGAGGGGUAUGAGUGUCUGCCACUUCCCUGCAGCUCCGGUGGCAGCUGGGAGCAGGCGACGCUGCUGGAAACACUCGGUUAUUUUUGUAGACGGAGUAAGGUAAGUGGGGAGCAUCUGCCUUCCCUGCAGGAGCUGAGCUGAGAGGCUGGCCUGCCAGUCAGACCCAGCUCCUGAAAAGCCGUGGGUGUUCAAACCAGUCCUUCCCCUUCCUGGGACAUCUUCGGAGGUGCUGCCUGUUCCUGGGCUUGGGAAGAGCUGGGCUGUCACCCUGUUACAAGAGCAGCUGGGAGGAGUUUGGCCCUGUGACAGGGCUGGGACGACCUGCUUCUACCUACAAUUUCUGCUGCCCGGCGAGCCUGACUUUUAAGAGCCCCUCAAGAAAUUGGCUAACCGGGAGAAAGUCUAGGCCAAAGAUAAACCUCCUAAUCCAUUAUCAGCAAAUGCAAUCAGACGUUCCAUCUGCUCUCCAAGGCCCCUGCAAGCUGACAACUGGGAGUCAGGCUGCACAGAUGCUCAGCCGGUGCCGCCCCUGCAAUUCCCGCUCUCCAGAUCCAGGUUGGUGACCAUAGAAUCCCAGACUGGCUGAGGUUGGCAGGGACUUCUGGAGGUCAUCUGGUCUAACCCGCUGCUCAAGCGGUGCCACCCACAGCAGAUUGCCCAGGACUAUGUCCAGCUGGCUUUUGGACAUCUUCAAGGAUGGAGGCUCCACCAUGUCUCUCAUCUUCAGGUCAUCAGUGUGGUCUACGGCUGACUCCAUGGACAACAUGGCAAUCUUGCUUAGAGGACUGAUAGAGUUGAAGGUUCUCAACUGCUUAUU